UGUGACGACCUUGCCAACUGCCAAAAAUAGGAGUGGAGAACUGCCGAACUAUUACAAUAUACAGGAAGAAGAGAUGAUAGUUGAAGUAAGAAAAAAUUUUCAUCAAUUUUGCAUUAUUGUUGUUUUUCUGGUAAGUUAGCAUUUCAUUUAUUAGAAUAGAGAUGCGGUUGAUCGAGUCUCUAGGCUUAUGGCGUGCUUUUGGUCUUAUCAAGUUGAGUUCUUAGCUUUUCUCAUACCAUAACUAACAUAAAAAUGUUCUUCUUCUCCAUUAUUCUGACAAUUUUGCAAAGAGAAAAUGAUCCACCUGAUAUCUGUAUUUGUUGCUUAAGAAGCUUGAUUAUAUUGGUUUCUCUAUCGUGUGUUCACCAAUGCAUAAAUCUUCCAUAUGGGAAAAAUUAAUCAGCAGUCUUGAAUCAGUCUUGUUUUCUAAUGUUACAUUCUGUUUUAUGUCAGAUUAAGAAUGAUUGACGGAGGUAUCACUUUUAGGGAGUUGUGAAUAUCUGGUGGUGCUAAUCCUACAUGUUAAGGAUGCUUUGAUGACUGGUUUAUGUAUUGUAUGACAUGUUCUGCUCUCGUUUAAGUCUCAUUUGAUGUUCAAAAUCGAAGUGAUAUUUGAGCAUUUCUCGCUUAUAUUUAGAUUCUAAUGUCAAAUUGUCAAUUUGUGAUAUAAAAAUGAAAUAAUCUACUGGAUAAUAUGUCAUGCUUAUUGCUUUUUCAUAAUUAGUGUUUAAUAGUUAAGUCUAUUUAUUGUCUGAUAAACCCUUUACUUGGAUUAUUAUUGCUAUUGUAGAAUAAUCCCUGUUCUUGUCUUUUACACUAUUAUGUGGUCAUCCCUAUUUUGCAGGAACAAACGACCCGAGUUUACUGCCUGGUUAGCAGAAGUGAAACAGGUAUCUCAUUUGAUGUUUUAGUAAUCCAUUCUGAUAUCAGUAAUGCAAAAUUUGUCACUAAAACACAUUCAUUCACAGUUUCACGUACUUGUGAUGUGCCUCAAAAAUCUAAACUUUGAUUUACAUUUCAUUUUGUGGAAUUGAUUUGAAAUUGGCAUCAGCAAAUUCAGGUUUUUUGACAAUAAUAGAUUUCAUUUUGCACAUUUUCCAUCUUUUGGCUUUUCAUUUUGUUACUAUUUUUGUAUUUGUAAUGCAUUCUUAUUCACCCUGGCACUAAAUGUAUUGACUUUAUAGUAGAUUAGAAUCAUAUUGUGUUCUUGUUGUUAUUAUGAUUGUUAUUUUCAUAGCUUUUUUUCCCCAUUUUGUUU
rnacentral:misc_RNA from 1 species